UACGGAGGGGGCUAGCGUUGUUCGGAAUUACUGGGCGUAAAGCGCACGUAGGCGGCUUUGUAAGUUAGAGGUGAAAGCCCGGAGCUCAACUCCGGAAUAGCCUUUAAGACUGCAUCGCUAGAACGUUGGAGAGGUAAGUGGAAUUCCGAGUGUAGAGGUGAAAUUCGUAGAUAUUCGGAAGAACACCAGUGGCGAAGGCGACUUACUGGACAACUGUUGACGCUGAGGUGCGAAAGCGUGGGGAGCGAACAGG
rnacentral:rRNA from 1 species